rnacentral:rRNA from 1 species
UUUGGGGUGGGGUGACUGCGUACCUUUUGUAUAAUGGGUCAGCGACUUAUAUUCUGUAGCAAGGUUAACCGUAUAGGGGAGCCGAAGGGAAACCGAGUCUUAACUGGGCGUUAAGUUGCAGGGUAUAGACCCGAAACCCGGUGAUCUAGCCAUGGGCAGGUUGAAGGUUGGGUAACACUAACUGGAGGACCGAACCGACUAAUGUUGAAAAAUUAGCGGAUGACUUGUGGCUGGGGGUGAAAGGCCAAUCAAACCGGGAGAUAGCUGGUUCUCCCCGAAAGCUAUUUAGGUAGCGCCUCGUGAACUCAUCUUCGGGGGUAGAGCACUGUUUCGGCUAGGGGGUCAUCCCGACUUACCAACCCGAUGCAAACUGCGAAUACCGAAGAAUGUUAUCACGGGAGACACACGGCGGGUGCUAACGUCCGUCGUGAAGAGGGAAACAACCCAGACCGCCAGCUAAGGUCCCAAAGUCACAGUUAAGUGGGAAACGAUGUGGGAAGGCUCAGACAGCCAGGAUGUUGGCUUAGAAGCAGCCAUCAUUUAAAGAAAGCGUAAUAGCUCACUGGUCGAGUCGGCCUGCGCGGAAGAUGUAACGGGGCUAAACUGUGCACCGAAGCUGCGGCAGCGACGCU